rnacentral:lncRNA from 1 species
GUCAAACAUGUUUUUAAUAACUAUUGCAGUAUAAACAGGGAAAUAGUGAAGAUGAAAUCACUAAAAGUUUUGAUUUUUUUGACUAUUUCAGGAUUAAAACAGCUUCAACACUUUCAAAUUUUUUGCCAGCAUGGAUUCCCAUAUCUUGAUCAGUCCUAAGAACAUGUGGGCAAGGAAAUUGCCAUAAAGCUUUUUGGGAAACAUGCUGUCUUGGUUGGCAGCAGGAAGGUGGGACCAUCUGUGAUGCACUCUGUGAAGAGGUGCGUACUCCUGCUUGCAUGCAGAGGAUAAGCAUUAACCUUGUAGGCACCCGGUGCUCACAAACCAUUAACACUUAGAGAUGCCACUGGAACCACUCAUGAUCGGAAACACCCGGCACGCUCUGCUGGUCCAAAGGAGGACAGUACAGAAGACUCAGCUGGCUUGGCAAUGCUGCAAUAUGUCAAAAAUGUGUGGCUGCUAUUGCUUUUCACAUUGGAAAAUUAAGAAUUAAAAAAAAAGACCUCAGAAAAUUAGUCAUUUGUUUAUGCAGAACCUAAAUUAAAAACAAUUUUGUUUUGGGCUGCUACAAAAAUUUCAUUACCAACUCCUUCUGGGCCACUCUGUUGCCAUCAGAACGAAGAGAUAAAGUAUAAAGGAUUAAGUGCAAUGUUGAAAGACAAGUCCACUCACUUAUGCUCCAUUAGGAACACAUUAAAUAACAAACA